AAAGUUGCUGCAGUUAAAAAGCUCGUAGCUGAACCUUGGCCUUGGUUGACCGGUCCGCCGCAAGGUGUGCACUGGCUCGACCGGGGCUUUCCUUCUGGCUAGCUUGUAUGCCGUUUACUCGGUGUGCAAGGGAACCAGGACUUUUACUUUGAAAAAAUUAGAGUGUUCAAAGCAGGCUUAUGCUCGAAUACAUUAGCAUGGAAUAAUAGAAUAGGACGUGUGGUUCUAUUUUGUUGGUUUCUAGGACCGCCGUAAUGAUUAAUAGGGAUAGUUGGGGGCAUUAGUAUUGAGUUGUCAGAGGUGAAAUUCUUGGAUUUACUCAAGACUAACUACUGCGAAAGCAUUUGCCAAGGAUGUUUUCCUUAGUCAAGAACGAAAGUUAGGGGAUCGAAGACGAUCAGAUACCGUCGUAGUCUUAACCACAGACUAUGCCGACUAGGGAUCGGGCCAUGUUCUUUUCUUGACUCGCUCGGCACCUCAUGAGAAAUCAAAGUUUUUGGGUUCCGGGGGGAGUAUGGUCGCAAGGCUGAAACUUAAAGAAAUUGACGGAAGGGCACCACCAGGAGUGGAGCCUGCGGCUUAAUUUGACUCAACACGGGGAAACUCAUCAGGUCCAGACAAAGUAAGGAUUGACAGAUUGAUAGCUCUUUCUUGAUUCUUUGGGUGGUGGUGCAUGGCCGUUCUUAGUUGGUGGAGUGAUUUGUCUGCUUAAUUGCGAUAACGAACGAGACCUUAACCUGCUAAAUAGCCCGACUAGCUUUUGCUGGCCGCUGGCUUCUUAGAGGGACUAUUGGCAUAAAGCCAAUGGAAGUUUGAGGCAAUAACAGGUCUGUGAUGCCCUUAGAUGUUCUGGGCCGCACGCGCGCUACACUGACAGAGCCAGCGAGUUCAUUUCCUUGGCCGGAAGGUCUGGGUAAUCUUGUGAAACUCUGUCGUGAUGGGGAUAGAGCAUUGCAAUUAUU
rnacentral:rRNA from 1 species